rnacentral:lncRNA from 1 species
UAAACAACAGAGUUAACACUGUAUCUCUUUUGUUAUCCUUGAAAUUACAAUUUUGAAGUAUAUACACGUCAUACCAAAUACCAACUUCAUGAAUUAUCACAUAUUUACAGAUAACUGAAAUACUGAGAGUAAACCAAAAGUCAAAAGCAACAUGUCAGGGUUGUUUAGACGGGUACUGAAAAAUAAGCAUUACAUAAUUAAUACAUGCCAUUAAAGAUUUUGAUUUUUGGGCUGCUGUUGAGAAGUAGGCAUCCGAGCAUUGAACCUUGGGUUAGCUAUUUGUUCCUAAUGCCAACACACAUGGUGGAUACCUUCCUUAUUUGACCCCAUGGCCAAGAACUUGAGCAAUAACAUGUACACCACUUACCACUAUGCAGUGUUAAUGAUGAGUAGAUGCAGAUACUCACGUACCUGUCCCAUAGUUAAAGGCAAUGUAGUCUUUUCUGGAAUACUUCAAUCCACACAUCUAGCAGCGAGUUUUUUUAGCUGAGCAGCAAGCUUUUGCCACCAGGAUUGCUUGCAGUGAGAAAAGAAAGGAUAACUAAAAUUCAGUAAAGAAGUUUGGUGCAGAAAGAGCACUCCUCGAUGGAUGAAAAAUAUAAAUAUAUCUCAUCAUGUAGACUCGUUAUGCAUGGCCCUUCAUUUCAUCUUUUUCAGUAAAGAAGUUUGGUACACCACUGACCAUUAGCUGUUACUGAUGAUACA